GACGAACGCUGGCGGCGUGCUUAACACAUGCAAGUCGAACGGAAAGGCCCCUUUGGGGGUACUCGAGUGGCGAACGGGUGGGUAACACGUGAGUAACCUGCCCUUGACUUCGGGAUAACUUCAGGAAACUGGGGCUAAUACCGGAUAGGAAUCCUUGCUGCAUGGUGGGGGUUGGAAAGCUUCGGCGGUUUCGGAUGGACUCGCGGCCUAUCAGCUUGUUGGUGGGGUAGUGGCUUACCAAGGCUUUGACGGGUAGCCGGCCCGAGAGGGCGACCGGCCACAUUGGGACUGGGACACGGCCCAGACUCCUACGGGAGGCAGCAGUGGGGAAGAUUGCACAAUGGGCGGAAGCCUGAGGCAGCACCGCCGCGGGCGGGAGGACGGCCUUCGGGUUGGAAUCCGCUUUCAGCAGGGGCGAAGCUUGUGGUGACGGUACCUGCAGAAGAAGCACCGGCUAACUACGUG
rnacentral:rRNA from 1 species